AUGCUGCUUACUGUGUCGUGAUAAUGUCCUUGUCUCCCAAUCAGGAGCCUCAUGUCUUCUUGCCAGCCUCUGUGGAACUGUGCUUGGCAGGUCACCUUGUUCUAGCAGAUAGAAACUGAAUCAAUAUGGGAAGAGCCAGAAUUUGGACAAGGUUCACCAAACAUUCACACUGAUGCCAGGUGGGCCAAGAAAAAGGGAAUGUCCUGCCUCUGAGAAACUCAUCAUACAGUUUGGAGAUAACAUUUGUUGAAGGAGAGAAGAAAAGAGGAGAGAGGAAUGGAGUGAGGCAGAAAGGAAAUGAUGACGAGCUACUCUUCAAAAUUAAGCUGGAUAACAACAAGAAAUUCUAGAAAGCAAUUGAGGCAACCUCCAC